CUAUCUGUUCAAACCUGAUCUUUGAAAUUCUGUUGGCAUCAUCUUUUUUUUUUUAGAGAUUUUAUUUUACUAAUUAUUUAUGAAAGACACACAGAGAGAGACAGAGACAUAGGCAGAGAGAGAAGCAGGCUCCCUGCGGGGAGCCUGAUGUAGAACUCGAUCCCAGGACCCCAGGAUCAUGACCUGAGCCAAAGGCAGAGGCUCAACCACUGAGCUACCCAGGUGCCCCCUGUUGGCAUCAUCUUAUUAUAAUGGUCCAUAUGACUGAUAAUCCGAUCCUAAAAGAUGUCCUCUUCUAGUUACUGUAAUAGCACCAGCUCACAAUUAAAAUAAACUACUAGGUAAUAAAGAAUCCCUUUUAUUUUUUAUUUUUUAAGAUUUAUUUAUUUGAGAGAGAGAGAAAGCAUGAGCAGGGGGAGGAGCAGAAGGAGAAAGAGAAUCCUCAAGCAGACUCCCUGCUGAGUGCAGAGCUCGAAGUGGAACUCCAUCUCAGGACCCUGAAAGCAUAUCCUGUACCAAAAUCAAGAGUCCGUCGCUUAAGUGACUAAGCCCCCAGGUGCCCCAAGAAUUUUCACCCCCCAUUUAAAAAAGAUUUUAUUUAUUUAUUCAUGAGAGACACAGAGAGAGAGAGAGAGGCAGAGACACAGGCAGAGGGAGAAGCAGGCUCUUCGCAGGAAGCCCGAUGUGGGACUUGAUCCCUGGACCCAGGAUCACACCCUGAGCUGAAAGCAGACACUCAGCUGCUGAGCUACCCAGGCAUCCCCAAGAAUUCCUUUUUUUUUAAAAUAAAAGCGCCCAUGAAGUAGAAACUACUAAUAGAGUAGUUAGUUCAGGUAAAACUUGAAAUUUCAAAAGUCAGUUAUUUUAGAGUAUUUAUAUUACAAUUAGUGAUUUGCAGGUAUAUUAUGAGAAAAUUACUUUUUUCCUUCUCUCCAUAUUUACAUAUUUUGUCCAAUUGUGCAAAGAAAGGAUAAAAGGUAUUUUGGUCUGAAAGUUCAAACACUGUAUGUCUUUAUAGCAGGGAUGGUAUAUGGUUACAAAACAAUAAUUUCAUAAAGUUACAGAUAUAAGAUUUCCACCUUCAAUAUGUAAAAUCAAUUUGUAGAUACUCGUAAAAGAGAAACAAAAUGUUAUUUUUGGGGUACCAUCUUAAUUUCAAGAUGAAUAUUUGCUAUUAGAAAAUCUGUCACCUGUUCUAACUCUGGUUUCAUCUGACACUUAGUUUUUGUUUCAAUUAUUAGUUGUGGUAAGCCUCCCAACUGAUUGGUAAAUAGCACUCAGUAAGUGGUAAAAUAUGCUGAGCUAGUAUGGUUCAAGACUAAAACUCUCCCUGCUGUUUAAGCCUUAACAAGGCAAAACUCCCAAGAAAAGAAAGCUACUCCAAACAGUGGUACACACCCUCCCACUAUCCUGGCAAGAGCCAUGUUUGCCACUUUCUCUUAAGAGAACGUGGGAGCAUGUGGGACGAUCAAGCCAUUUCAAAAUAAGUCUCUAAUGUCAUUCUAUUGCUGUAAUCCCAGACAUUCUCUAAUUCUAUUUCAAACAGGUGUCUGUUCGUGUAUUUUUUUCUGUUUAGGACCUUCUGUAAACUUUCAGAAUUGAGCCAUUUUGUCAAUCAGCAUCCGCUAAACCCUGGGCUUACAUAAUAUCAGUAAAUGUGCUUCUAUUUAACUCUCUAUUUACAGUCAUAAGAGAAAUAAACAUAUAAAAUAAAUGCAUCUCAAUGCAUAGCUGUGCAGGAGUACAGAUGUUUUAUUAAUGAAAAUGAAUCUAGCUUUUUGUAAGUCAUGGCAGCAAUAUAACAUUUCAUUGUUUGGUUCUGUGCUAGACAGUCCCUGCUGUUUCUACAUAGAAAUUCCUGUAAUGCUUAAUGGACAUCUGGAAGAAUUCAGCCAAUUAAUCGAAUUCAUGUAGGAGCUAGGCUAAUGGCUGUCUGAAAGGCAGAUUACAUUAAAUCAAACUUGCAAUAUGAAUGAAAGCACUUAAUCAUACAUGCAACAUUCAUUAGAUGCGACACAGCAAGUGUUUUGAUUACUUUAAUAAAAGAUCAGGUAAAGUGCAUCAGCUGAACAGAUUGAAAAGACAGCAUGCUUACAAAUGUUUGAUUAUGCUGAAUAUCAACAGAAACAGUGCCAGUAAUUUAUAGCAAAACAUAUUUGUAGGCGUCUAGAGCUGGUGAACUCAGUGAAAUUCGGGGCCUUCACUCGAGACAAUAAUUAAUAUAAGAUAACACUUUAAUCAGAUGUCAGGAAAAGAGAUUGCUGGAAGUUUAGUAAUUUUAUGGUUAUUGGGCAUCUUCAUGGUUUGAGCAACCUGAAGUCUCCUUGAACCCCAAUUUCAUUCACUUUGAGGUACAGUUUUCCCCUGGCUUUAUUGAGAUAUAAUUGACACAUAAUACCAUGUGAGUUUGAGGUGCAGAGCAUGAUCAAUAGAUGUAUACAUUGUGAAAUGAAUAACCUAGCAAGGUUAGGCAAUACAUCCAUCUCCUCAUGGAGGUACUUUGUGUGUGUGUGUGUGUGUGUGUAGUGAGAAUAUUUAAUGCCUACUCUGAGGCGCACAGUUCUUGAGGGAGGAGGUGUUGCUAAACUAAAAACAUUGUAGUCAAAGGUCAACUUCAUAUGUUGGCCUUUAAAAAAAUCUCAUGCCAGAAAUUAAAAUGCUAUCCUUAAUAGUUGUUCCCGCCUUCUAGAAUCAUGAAUAUCUGCCCCCUUCUCUUCACGAAUUGUCUCAUUGAUUUUUUCCCUGAUACUUUGCAAAAUGAAACCUUAUAAGGUAUAUUUCCUACACAAUAUUAAUGUAGCAAAUGCCACUUGCAGUUUUUUGGAUAAAAUCAACAAAGAUGAAGGAUUUUUGUAUUUAUAUAUGUACACCUCUAUAAAGAAUUUUCCUGUGGGUGAGUACUUUUAAUAUUAGACAGGACUGCCUUUAGAGGUGGUAGAAACCACUUCUUUCUGGCACUUAACAAAAGGACUCAUUGUGUCUCUCUAGACUGAUGUGUGAUCCUGAAGACAGAAAUAGACAUAGGACCUUUAAAGUUCUUUAUAAACAUUUUAUUCAGUUCAAGCCAUUGAAUGCGUAGUAAAUACUACACUGUUUUAGAUUCUGUGGGUUACGUCAAGAUGUGAAAGAUAUGGGUCAUCACAGCCACAAGGAAUUAAAUUAAUCUAUCCACAAAAAGAUGCAAAAAAAAAAAAAAAAACAAAAAACCCUAGAGCAAUAGCAAUAACAAAUGAGAACAACACAAUCCAGAAUAUAUUCCAGCAGAAGGUAAGGUACAGAUUUAUAAAUUUUGUAGAAAAUCAGAGAGAGCUAAUUCUAACACAAACAGGAAGUUUGCGUUAAAAUUGCCUCAUUCACUUGAGAAGAGAUAUAAUUUAAGAGAACUACAUGAAUCCACAAUUAAGCAUUACAGAAAAAUCUAUGAAUACUGUUUUGCUUUUUUACAGAGACUCAAGAAACUCUCCAGAUACUUUUCAAAUAUCAAAUUGCACAACAAAUUUUUAGACUUGAUGGGUUGAUUGUUUUUAUGGCAGGCUAGAAAUUCCUCCUCUUCUUAAUUUUCUCCCAUCACGUACACAUUCAUGAAAAGGGAGAAAGGAACUGGUUGGCCCAGAAUAUAAUCAGCAUUUAUAUCUACCAGCCAAAUUAUUAUUUUUCUACCUAUGACCUCUUGAAUUUUAGCAACAUACUAAGAAUAUAACUAGAAGGAAAGCUUACUGUCUUAAGACUUUCCAAAAUAUUUAGCUCACGUCAGUUAUUUCAAAAUGUCCACAUUGCCAGCUACUUAACCUCCAUGUAAUAAAAAAUGGCAUUGUGUUCUGAACUAUAUGCUUUGCACCAUUUAUUUACCCAGUCUCUUACUAUGAAGGGUCAUGUAAUCUUAGAGCUCUAAGUUGUCAGUGCUUCUGUUUGGAAAAUGUAAUAAUGAUUUGUAUUAGCUCAGGUAGGUUGAGACAAACUAAAAGACUUUGUUUCUCCCCACUGGCAAAUCUUCACCUAUUUAUUUGACUGAUCAGGAACUGUCACUUCAAAUAUGUUUUUAAUCUCUUCUGAAGCAUUAAGUUUGACAUCCGUCACCCUAGAGAACCCUCCUAUGAUGGGAUUUCACUAAUAAUUCCUAUCUGUCAGUCUAUUACUACCUAUAUAUCCAGCUAUCUAUCUGUCUGUGUCUUCAAUUGUUCUAAAGUGUCUUCUGUGACUUUGUUCUUCAGGCAGUUUUGAGGGGACAAAUAAAGCAGCUACACGAUCUACUGCUAUUGUGAUUUGUGGUCAUAUUUUCCCAACAUUUGUGAUCAUAUAUUUCUGAGAUGCCUGAAAAACUGUUUGCAUCUAAAAUGUAUCCUUUGAUAUUCCUCCAAAUAAUUUUUAAAAGAUUUAUUUAUUUAUUUUAGAGAAAGAGAGCAUGUGCACACAUAAGCAGGGGGAAGGGCAGAGAAAGAGGGUGAGAGAAUCUCUAGCAGGUUCCUUGCUGAGUGCAGAGCCCUAUACAGGGAUCGAUCUCACCACUCUGAGAUCAUGAUCCCAGCCAAAACCAAGAGUAGGAUGCUUAACUCACUGAGUCACCCAGGUGCCCCUCCUCCCCUUCUUUAUUAAUUUUCUUAUAAAGAACCUGGAGGUAGGGCACCUGGGUGGCUCAGUUGGUUGAGUGAUCGACUCUUAGUUUCCACUGGGGUCAUGAUCCCAGGGUUGUGAGAUCAGCUCCACAUCAGGGUCCAUGCCCAGUGCCAAGCCUGCUUAAGAUCCUCUCACUCCCUCUGCUCCCCCCCAACCCAUUUGCAUGCACACUCUCUAAAAAAAAAAAAAAACAAAAAAAAAAA
rnacentral:lncRNA from 1 species